UACGUAGGGUGCAAGCGUUGUCCGGAAUUAUUGGGCGUAAAGAGCUCGUAGGCGGUCUGUCGCGUCUGCUGUGAAAACUCAGGGCUUAACCCUGAGCUUGCAGUGGGUACGGGCAGACUAGAGUGCGGUAGGGGAGACUGGAAUUCCCGGUGUAGCGGUGAAAUGCGCAGAUAUCGGGAGGAACACCGGUGGCGAAGGCGGUUCUCUGGGCCUUACCUGACGCUGAGGAGCGAAAGCGUGGGGAGCGAACAGG
rnacentral:rRNA from 1 species